UACGUAGGGGGCUAGCGUUGUCCGGAUUUAUUGGGCGUAAAGAGCGUGUAGGCGGCCAGGCAGGUCUGGUGUGAAAACUCGAGGCUUAACCUCGAGAUGUCAUCGGAAACUAUUUGGCUAGAGUCCGGAAGAGGAGAGUGGAAUUCCUGGUGUAGCGGUGAAAUGCGCAGAUAUCAGGAAGAACCCCACUGGCAAAAGCAGCUCUCUGGGACGGUCCUGACGCUGCGACGCGAAAGCGUGGGGAGCGAACAGG
rnacentral:rRNA from 1 species